rnacentral:rRNA from 1 species
CGCAAGGGCAGAGAACCCAUCGCUGUCUGGGCUCCCGCGAGGAUGAGCUAACUCCAAAAACCAUCCUCAGUUCGAAUUGCAGGCUGCAACUCACCUGCAUGAAGCCAGAAUCGCUAGUAAUCACAGGUUAGCCAUACGGCGGUGAAUUCGUUCC